rnacentral:rRNA from 1 species
GGAGGCAGCAGUGGGGAAUAUUGCACAAUGGGCGAAAGCCUGAUGCAGCAACGCCGCGUGCGGGAUGACGGCCUUCGGGUUGUAAACCGCUUUCAGUAGGGACGAAGGGUGACUGACGGUACCUACAGAAGAAGGACCGGCUAACUACGUGCCAGCAGCCGCGGUGAUACGUAGGGUCCGAGCGUUGUCCGGAAUUAUUGGGCGUAAAGGGCUUGUAGGCGGUUCGUCGCGUCAGAAGUGAAAACUCAGGGCUUAACCCUGAGCCUGCUUUUGAUACGGGCGGACUAGAGGGAUGCAGGGGAGAACGGAAUUCCUGGUGGAGCGGUGGAAUGCGCA